AUUGAACGCUGGCGGCAGGCCUAACACAUGCAAGUCGGACGGUAGCACAGAGGAGCUUGCUCCUUGGGUGACGAGUGGCGGACGGGUGAGUAAUGUCUGGGGAUCUGCCCGAUAGAGGGGGAUAACCACUGGAAACGGUGGCUAAUACCGCAUAACGUCGCAAGACCAAAGAGGGGGACCUUCGGGCCUCUCACUAUCGGAUGAACCCAGAUGGGAUUAGCUAGUAGGCGGGGUAAGGGCCCACCUAGGCGACGAUCCCUAGCUGGUCUGAGAGGAUGACCAGCCACACUGGAACUGAGACACGGUCCAGACUCCUACGGGAGGCAGCAGUAGGGAAUAUUGCACAAUGGGCGCAAGCCUGAUGCAGCCAUGCCGCGUGUAUGAAGAAGGCCUUCGGGUUGUAUAGUACUUUCAGCGGGGAGGAAGGCGGUGAGGUUAAUAACCUCGCCGAUUGACGUUACCCGCAGAAGAAGCACCGGCUAACUCCGUGCCAGCAGCCGCCGUAA
rnacentral:rRNA from 1 species